AUCAAGUCAUAUGUGCAAUAUACAGACUUCCAGAUACUCAUAAACAUAUCCCUCGGCCAAUGGAAGGGGUUAUUUUACCCAAAAAGAUGGUCACAUUAGGUGAUAUGAAACCUGAUCCUGUACUAUGGCAUGAGCAAUCUAACAAGAAACCUUGGGAAGAUGGACGGAACCGCCACCGUGGUGCAAUGUCUGAUAGGGACCACCACCGUGAUGCAAUGUCUGAUAGGAACAUCCAAUGUGGUGCAAUGUCUGGUUUUCAGCUUGGAGAAGCUGCACGCAGAUUGGUGGUGAAUAGUUUGCAGAAGAAAGAAGAUAGGGGUGGAAAUG
rnacentral:misc_RNA from 1 species